CACAAAGAAAACAUUUUUGUAGAACUGACAUAGUAGCCAACAGUGAUUAUUUUUAUUUUUUGCCAACUUCUUAAUUAGGGAUAUCCCAACGAGAUGGGAGUCACAGAAAGAAAGAAACAUUAGAGGAAAUGGUCAUCAUUCUGUUUUAGUUCACCUAAAACCCCAACUUAGAAGAAGUGAAGUAUGCUGGAAGAUGAAAGUGCAAACUUUGAGAGCAAUAAUGAUGUGCUGCCUGCACCAUGAAAUUACAUGGUACGUUAAUCAAAGAAUCAUUAGGACAAACCACUCAUGCACAUUUUAAAGAGUGCUUCACAAGAAUAUUUCACAUCCAUGAGAAAUCUGGAGAGUGACACAUUAGAUGAGGCAUUCUGAAUGGAUCCUAAUUACAAGGGUUCAACAACAUCCAACAGCUACAUUGAAAAGGAGCAAAGAACUGACAUUUGUUUUAGCCUGGCACAGAAGAGCAAGGGUCACGCAUACCACCGUAGUGUCUAUAGAGACACAAAUAUCUAGAGGAAAACAAAAUGUUCAGGGUCAUGGGGAGUGGAAGAAAAUGUUGUCUUCUUCUGAAGGAACUACUCUUCCAAGUAAGAAUAAACACUGGAGUGUUCUGCUACCAUCCAAAAACCCCAAAUGUGCUCAGGUUUCAUGACCACAUCCCAAGGAAGCAACGUUAGCUGAACUGACUGUCUUCUACACUGCCCACAGGGCAAGACCUCUGUUCACCCAGAAAGGAGGAGCCCCCACAUUUAUUUUUGAUAAUACUGGAACAGUUAAUGUAACAGCAUGAAGAAAAGAGAAUGAGUAUGACAGGGAAAGAAAUGGUCCACUGAGUGUCUUUUUUUCUGGUGGUGGUAAGUCCUUUAGUGGCAUAAAUGGCCACUAUACACAAUAUUAUGAGCACCGGCUCUGACAGCAGCUCUCAGCACAUGCUACUAUAUUACUAGUGCUGCAGUGGUGGCAUGGCAACUGUUAGCACGAAUUUCGGCAUUCAGAAUGGGAAAACAUGGCUGAACAGCUCAUCUUUUUAUAUGGGUCACUGCAAGUAUUGCUGAAGGCAUGCUUCUGAUGUUUAGAUGCCUUUGAGGGAGAUUGCUGCAGUGUAGUCUGGACACAGCCAGUAAAAUAUUUACUUUGACUGCCAGGAUGUACAGCAUGGUAUUGCAUAAAGAAAUGGACUGACAGAUGAAAGUCAUAGCAGGUCCUUCUUACUCCACAUUUGUACAACAGGGCAAAGUCAAUUUUGCUGAAUAAAUCUGUACUAAUAAAAGGAUGGACAAGGGAAACCAAUUUGGACAUUUAGGACUCACAGAAACUAUCUUUCUACAGCUGUCAAAUUCCCAAAAAUGACACCAGUAAGUAUUUCCUUCUUGAGGAAGCUAAGCUGAAAGGACAUGUGACUGUACAAACAUUUUAUAAGAAAAUGUCUCAAAAUGUGGUCUACUAGAACAAGGAUGAUGUCUGUCAGUAAACUAAAAUGAUUGGCCUUUU